AACGAACGCUGGCGGCAGGCUUAACACAUGCAAGUCGAACGGGUGUAGCAAUACAUCAGUGGCAGACGGGUGAGUAACACGUGGGAACCUUCCUAGAGGUACGGAACAACUCAGGGAAACUUGAGCUAAUACCGUAUACGCUCUUGCGAGGAAAGAUUUAUCGCCUUUAGACGGGCCCGCGUCGGAUUAGCUAGUUGGUGGGGUAACGGCCUACCAAGGCGACGAUCCGUAGCUGAUCUGAGAGGAUGAUCAGCCACACUGGGACUGAGACACGGCCCAGACUCCUACGGGAGGCAGCAGUGGGGAAUCUUGGACAAUGGGCGCAAGCCUGAUCCAGCCAUGCCGCGUGAGUGAAGAAGGCCUUCGGGUUGUUAAAGGAC
rnacentral:rRNA from 1 species